GUCUUCCCUGCAGGGUCUCCCUCUCGGGGAAAGGGGAACUGAAUAAUGAUUUGAAAACUUGCUCAGCAGCAUCAAGCCCACUUGACUGGGUUAGAAAGAAAAAACCAAAACAAAACAAGCGUGUUUGCACCUCCGUCUCGGGGCCGCAGGAACCUGGACUCAGGGACUAUUUAGACAACACUGAGUUGGAGCAUGGAUUGCGGCUAGCUGGACACUGGGCCCUCCGCUGGCACUGUGGUCACUGCUGGCCCCAGUGCCACCAAUGCCACAGGACACUGGAUGCCAUAGCCACCAACUCCACCAGAAGGAGUUCCGAUUAUGUUGUUCAGUCUGGAUUUAGAAGUCUCAGGAUACAAACCAGGACCAACCAGGACCAAUCAGGACCAAU
rnacentral:lncRNA from 1 species